UACAGAGGUCUCAAGCGUUGUUCGGAUUCAUUGGCGUAAAGGGUGCGUAGGUGGCGCCGUAAGUCAGGUGUGAAAUUCGGAGCUUAACUCCGAAACUGCAUUUGAUACUGCGGUGCUUGAGGACUGGAGAGGAGACUGGAAUUUACGGUGUAGCAGUGAAAUGCGUAGAGAUCGUAAGGAAGACCAGUGGCGAAGGCGGGUCUCUGGACAGUUCCUGACACUGAGGCACGAAGGCCAGGGGAGCAAACGGG
rnacentral:rRNA from 1 species